CUCAGAUCACAUAAUUUGUGAAGCAACUGCAACCUAUUUUUGCACAAAUAACUGCUGAACCCAAUUUGUGGAAGCUGCAGCUCAUCCUCCUCUCCCUCCUGCUUAAAAAUCAGUAUGAUUCCAUGCUUUAAAGCAUCGUGUACUUCAAGUUGCAGAUUGUGCGUUAGGUUCAUCCACUUGAAGCCUUGUGGGAGUUGCAGCUUCUGUAUGGCUCUUAUCAAUCUUGUCAUUCACUUUGUACAAUUUUUAUCUCGAGCCCAUUCAAACCUCGGAAUUGUUCAGUGGAGGUGAAGGGCAAACAAGCCAAGGACGGAAUGAUUAUCGUCAUGCAUGGAGAAUACUUUUCUUAAGUUGAGCAGGGGUUAACAUAGAGAGCUAAGGGCUAUGUUGCAACAUUGGCUACUACAUUUUCCUGAGGGAUGAGCUCAUCUGGGUGUGUUGUUAGUUGUGCUCAUUUCUGGGACAAGCACACGAGGUGGCUACACAAGCGUUCCUGUGUCAACCCCAGAGGGUGCGGAGGACUUCAGAUUUGUGUGGAUCUGCUAAUCAUCGUUGCAUGUGAAGCGAGUACAAUUUGCUGCGACAGUCGCUGCAGGAAACUUCAAAGCAGGUUUCAAAGAUACGUAAAAGAAUAAGCGAUAUACAACCGCGAAAACGAUCAUUGGCACAACGCAAGCCCACAUUCGAACCUUCCCCAUCGAUAGGCUUGAAAGGACCAUAUGCGAGUCCAUGUUGUUGUACCAAAUCACUCCUUUCUGCGACGCGAACUCAUUGUGCAUAAUUGCUUCAUAUGGAUACUUGAAUAUCGACAGGUAGUGGAACCAGAUCCAGUACUUUGGAAUAGCAGACCUGUGCAACAAUACAAGAAGAGGAAUGUCAAGUCUUUGAACACGUCGCUCUUUUUGGUUGUGAAAUUCUUA